rnacentral:rRNA from 1 species
GACGAACGCUGGCGGCGUGCUUAACACAUGCAAGUCGAGCGGUAAGGCCCUUUCGGGGGUACACGAGCGGCGAACGGGUGAGUAACACGUGGGUGACCUGCCCUCAGCUCUGGGAUAAGCCUGGGAAACCGGGUCUAAUACUGGAUAUGACUCCAUGACGCAUGUUGUGGGGUGGAAAGCCUUGUGCGGCUGAGGAUGGGCCCGCGGCCUAUCAGCUUGUUGGUGGGGUGANGGCCUACCAAGGCGACGACGGGUAGCCGGCCUGAGAGGGCGACCGGCCACACUGGGACUGAGACACGGCCCAGACUCCUACGGGAGGCAGCAGUGGGGAAUCUUGCGCAAUGGGCGAAAGCCUGACGCAGCGACGCCGCGUGAGGGAUGACGGCCUGGUGUAACGUACUUACUACGCUCCGACGAACGACGAGAGUGACGGUAGGAGCGAGAAGAAGACGACCGGACCGAACC